CUUUCCUUUCCUUUCCUUUCCUUUCCUUUCCUUUCCUUUCCUUUCCUUUCCCUUCUUUUUUUUCUUUCCUUCCUUCCCUUCCUUUCCCUUCCUUUCCUUUCCUUUCCUUUCCAUUCCUUUCCCUUCCUUUCCCUUCCUUUUCUUUUCUUUUUGUGAUUCUGAGGAUUUAGUCUGAGGCCUUAUAUUCUACCAUUAAGCUACAUUCCCAGCCCUCUCCUUGGUUUUUUAAGGACAACUAGCUUCAACUGGGGGGAAUCCUAGAAUUGGCUUCUAGUAGAGGAGGCAGAUUGGGAAUGAUAUGAGAAUGGUGUCCCAGAGAGGAUAUGUUUGCUAAGCUUUGGGUGGGUUCUCCUUGGAGAGGAGCUGGGAGAUGACUGGAACUGGUGACCACAGGGUCCUGUUCAUGGCUCCUGCUUUUAUUCCUACUCCAGAGAGACUCUCCAGGGCUGGGACUAGUGUGCCUCAGGCCCCAAAUUCUAAGUGACUCUCUCUCCCAGGGUUUAAUUUCUCAAAGCCUCUUCCUUAUCACCCUCCGUAUGUGUGACCUGAGUUGAUAGCAGUGUGCUAAAUUGAAAAGUACUUGGAAUCGACAGAGUGAAUGCUGUUCAGUAGAUCAGUUGUCUAGUUCCAAGUUCCUCACAUCUGUAAAAUGUGCAUAAUAAAAACCACCCCAUCAGCAUUGUAGGGUUGCUGUGAAAACACAACCCCAUACCUACUGGAGCAAUAUUUGCAGAACAUGGGUGUUUGUAUCAACUUCAAGUGCCCCCUGGUUUCUGCAAGGAGAAUCAGAGACAGUCUAUCACAGAAAGCAGCAUCUUGCUAGCUGAUGGUGCAUAAUAUUUGCUUGUUUUUCUGUUUGCAGUCACAUUUCAUUCUCACCGACCAGCCUCAGAGGGCAGGUAGGAGAAGCCCCCAAAUUCAAGGGAUCGAACUCAGGACCUUGUGCUUGUGAGGGAGGCCUGGUGCCACUGAGCUAAAUUCCUGUCCCUCAACCUCUUGAAAACACACAGAUGCAUCACUGUAGAGUAGCACCCAGGAGAGACCCCUGUGGCUGCUGUGUGGGUAUGGAGUGGAGGUGUCAAGACUGGAGGCUUGCAUAGAUUGCUACAGUGAUCCCAGCUGUGGAACACCGUGGAGUGAGGAAGAGGACAGAGGGAGAGAACUUUUGUGACAUGGAAGGGGACAGGCUGGACCCUGCCUUUUAGAUGGACAUGCAUGCACAAGUGAGGCCAUGUCUCUGAAGCUCCCUAAGAAACCAAAGGAAAAGUAUCUGUUGGACUGGAUGCAGAGAGGUCAGGAAGCCUCUUGUCCUGGGAGGUGGCUCUGGCACAGAACACUUCCAGGAUGUUGCUCCUAUGAGAUGCACUUUAGACCUUGCUGGUGACAGCAACAUUUUGCUGACUCAGAGCAGCUGGAGAUAUGAAUUUCUAUCCUGUGUCUAGUCCAGGGGAAUGACUGACAAAGCUUCUGGCAAAGCCAGAUCCCAGGGCAGCCCUGGCUGAGCUGUCUUGUCUGGAUCACUGUUUCCUCUCUGAGAGGACUCUUGGCUUCAUUUCCAGACAGCAUGCAUGUGGUCAAAUCCUGUGCAUCCCAGUGGCAGAUGCUUGAGAUACCUCCUUUCCAGAUGAACCUGGUCCCUUCUGAAAGCAUCUACUGAGUACAUUGGACACAUAUGACACCCUGACAAACCAAAAGACAGAAGAGUCAUUGGGCCGAUACUGGCUGAGUGUCCUGAUUCUGCUGGGAGACUCGAAGCAGGCAGUGCUCAGUCUUCUUUUGCAAGGGACCCAACUUUCAGAAUCAUGACAUGUCCAGUAACCUCCAACACAGCAGCAAGGACAAACCAGACUCCCUCCAGCUAUCAAGGGCAUCUUGGGAUACUGUUCCUUAGCUUGUAGUCAGAGUAUGGGGAUAGGAAAGGAACUUUCUUUGGGGUGUCCACUCCCAGACUCUCUCCCAAGAAAAAAGGUAUUCCAAAACAUCUCAUGAAGCACCUGAAGGACUGCACGAGUACUGAGUUAGGUGACUAAAAAUCUCAGGGAUGUAGAGGCCCCUAAAAACUGGGAUUCCCUUCUGAGAUGUUAGGUUGACUUUGUUCCUGAAUUGUAACAAGAUGAUUUUUACCUUCACAAGAAAUUGCCUUUGUUUUAUUGUUUGGUGGCUGUUCCACAACUCUCAGAUCUGUGUUUCCACAGCUUCCCUUGAUCCAAAAACAGGACACGCCAAGGAGAUGAAAAGCUUGGCUGAGCUGAGUUCUAAGGGAAGUCCUGGUCAUUACAGAGAAAAUGUUCCUCCAGAAAGACACUGAGUUCCUCAUAAUGUGAGAACCUUCUUUGAUGUGUUUUUUUUAUUGGGUAUAAUGUUAAGGCAUUGGAGCCAGGAAUACCUGGGUUUCCACUGUGGGAUUCCAUACCCAGGCAGCCCAGCAGAAGCCCAUAGACAUCUACCUCAGGGCGGAGGCUGGGAUCCCCUGAGGAAGGACUUCCUAAUUAUUAGUCACCUUGCAAUACGGGGUAGAGGGCUUCCCAUCACUAAAAAUGUUCCAGCAGAGACUGCACAACCACAAAGGACUCCACAGUAUUAGAAUCUGUAACCUCUAAGACCUAUUUCUUUGCAGCCCUAUUAAAUUGAAAACUUCUGAAAGUGGUGGUUUUUAUAUCCUUCUCCCCUAGAACCAUGUGGGAGGAAGGAAGGAAGGAAUAUAUCUUCCCCACAGCCAAGAGGCAUCAGACCCCUGAUGAUUUGGAAGCUCUGAUUACUAUCUAGCCCUGGAUUACCUAGCCUUAACAUCAUCAUUUUUCUACCAUUUUAUUCCUUCCUUGCAAGACCAGCUGAGUUUUGACCCUUUAUCUCAGCAAGUUAGCAGGAACUGAAGAUGUCAGUGUUGUACCUGUUCAGGGAACCAGAGUUAGAAUCCAUGCAACUCUACAUCUACCCCCAUCUCCUACUGAGACAGAUUCAUGUCUGUGUCCGAACACCAGAGCCAUGGGGAGGAGGUGCUCACCCAGGUGGGAUUUGAAGGUGUCCAGGACUUUCUUUCCAUAUAGACACCACCAUGGUUAUCAUUCAAAUCUUGCUUUAUCUCAAGGGCUUGCUUUUGGAAGGGGGACUAAGGACCAGUCUUCAUCUCCCAAGCAAUGUGAUUCUGUGGCAUUGGAAUUGCUUUUAAAAAAAUUAAAAACUAAAAGAAUGCAAAAAAUAUAUUUGAAACUUUCUCCCUUGGAAUAAGGUGAUUUCCUUACAAAUGUAACUCCCUUGGGAGUUGAUUCCUUAACUCUAUAGCACCCUCUGAAUUUUUAAGCAAGCCUAAUCUAUUAAAUUAACUAAAACAGA